AGCGCUUGUGCUUCAUUAACCAACUCCUCAUCUCCUUUUCUCUUCGCAAGAAGACAAAUUAAUUAGGGUUUUGUUUCCUUAUUAGUUAGUUCUAGGGUUUCCGCUGCCUCAUUUCUGGGGUUUCAGCAUCAGAGCGAAGACGCGUCUUGGCGAAAGGAAUUGGGCUUCUGGGCAAAGGGAAAUUUCGUGGGCAAAAUUCGAUGUCAAUCACGAAAAGGACAGAAUUGGCGUGGAUUUCGGGCGAAGACGAUUUUUUUAAGAAACUUGGUAAUGGCAAGAAGAAUUGAACAACGGGGAGAUACUCGAAUCUGGGAUUGAUCAUCGUGCAGAUCAUAGUGGAGAAGUUAGAUAUCUUCACAAAGGUGUGUAUUUAAACAAGGACCUUCUCUCUAACAAAAACUAGCACAACAGGUCAGCUAGCAAAUGGCUAGUAUUUGGCGCUACCUCUGUCAACGACUACCACUGGUGUGCCCACCGUGCACGCACCGCCACACACACUACUGUAUGCCUCUGCAGUGGUCCUUCACUGUAGCGCACUCCUGCACCUCCAUGGUUCGCUGCUACAUGUGAAUCUGAGUCCAUUGUGCCUCACUUUGAACUACUGCACCAGCCGCCACUUGCCGUUUGUCGGCCCAUUGGAGCCACCACAGACACCAUGUGGAUUGUCACCUCUAUGACGUCCUUGUUUUUCUUUCUUUAUUUGAAGAAUCGGAAGUCAAUUAUACAGAAGGCCGAUACCUUCACAAAGGCUGUUCAAUCUUCAUAACAGCAGCUGGCUAUCUACCUAAGGUUGAGUUCUCAACAUGUCUCUGUUCCUGACAACAAGUUGCCCAAAAGCCUCAUCAUUCCAUUCAACUUCUGCUGUUUAAAGGACAUGGUUCAAAGGGGCUUGUUUCAUUUGGGAGAUUGAGAAUGAGUUUGAAUACAAUGAAAGAACCUAAAAAUAAAAGAAAAAGCUGAGACAUGAAAGAUAAUUGUGUGUAAAUACACACACACACACACACACACAACCAAUAUUCCCUUGAAAGCCAUUGAUCUGAUAUAUAUACAACAGAUAUUCCCUUGAAAGCCAUUGAUAUGCAUGAAAAUGUAGUAGGUAUUUAAUUUAAUAUUGAUAUAAAUUAUUUUAUAUAUACACAACCAUGUCCUCGUACCCUACAUUUUACAAAUUUGUCGUGUCCCGUACCCGUACCCGUGUCUAUGCAACAUAGAUGUUCACCACCACAACCUCCCUCACCUUCACCGGCUGUUCCACCGGCCUCCAAGUAUCCCCUCUCCAUCACUGCAUCCGAAAUAGCUGUUAAGUUGCGGCUUCCAUCCAUGUUCACCACCACAACCUCCCUCAC